GAGGCGGCAACCGAAAAGCCAUAAGAGAGUAGGUA
rnacentral:ncRNA from 1 species